rnacentral:rRNA from 1 species
GACGAACGCUGGCGGCGUGCUUAACACAUGCAAGUCGAACGAAGAGCGAUGGAAGCUUGCUUCUAUCAAUCUUAGUGGCGAACGGGUGAGUAACGCGUAAUCAACCUGCCCUUCAGAGGGGGACAACAGUUGGAAACGACUGCUAAUACCGCAUACGAUCUAAUCUCGGCAUCGAGGAUAGACGAAAGGUGGCCUCUACAUGUAAGCUAUCACUGAAGGAGGGGAUUGCGUCUGAUUAGCUAGUUGGAGGGGUAACGGCCCACCAAGGCGAUGAUCAGUAGCCGGUCUGAGAGGAUGAACGGCCACAUUGGGACUGAGACACGGCCCAGACUCCUACGGGAGGCAGCAGUGGGGAAUCUUCCGCAAUGGACGAAAGUCUGACGGAGCAACGCCGCGUGAGCGAUGACGGCCUUCGGGUUGUAAAGCUCUGUUAAUCGGGACGAAAGGCCUUCUUGCGAAUAGUGAGAAGGAUUGACGGUACCGGAAUAGAAAGCCACGGCUAACUACGUG